rnacentral:rRNA from 1 species
ACCAGUUUCUUUUAGCCCUUUGGGGCUACAAUUCAUAUUCCUUGGCGAAAGCUUUCAUUUCUAGUAGCUUGAGCGAUUCCAAGUUGAGAAAUUGCCCAGGAUAAUUCUUUCCCUAGGGAAUGAGGUUCCAACAAGACCACGGUUCUCUGGGCCCUUGUUGGUUUCCAGGAGAGCUCUCCUGGAGUUUGCGAAUAAAGCUUAGAAGGUUUUUGCUUUUUACGCUGGGCGUAAAAUGCCUUCUUAUGAUAAGCUUUUUAGGAAAUCCUAAGCAAACAGACCAGGUUUUCUGCGAACAGGAAAAACAUUCCUUUUUUGUAUUAUGUGUCCAACAGGGCUAGAGUGGAAGUGGGAUUGUUUUUCUGCACUUUUUCCGUAAGGGAAAGGGUGUACUAGGCGUAGCCUAGUGGAAUACCAGGUGACAGGAAAAUCCUGUCGAAGGCUUGAAGACAGCUAGAGCCUCGUCUUAGUCCUGGAUUUUCCUUACACAAUGCGUUCCUCCAUCUUAGCAGAACUUACCAGGUUUCCUGGUAAAGAGAAGGUUGGAUGGAGUAACGUACUUGUGUCAUUUCUUAAUCUUCCUUUCCUGAUAGAGGCUAGCUGUCCCUGUUUACAAAGGCUACCCGGGCCCAUCGUGCUCUCCAGUGAACUUGGCAAGAACUGGCACACCUGUUUUCUAAAAACAUAGGUGUUAGAAAGUCUUAGUGCCUUGUACUGCCAAAGUUACCUACUGGCAGCAGUAUCUUGACUGUGCCAAUGUACCUUAAUUUUCUGUUGUUUCAUUGGCAACCAGGGAAGUAUACAUGAUGUCAGUCCUCUACUGGUGAGCCCUCGCGAAACAAUAGCCAUGAUGAACAUAGCAUGGGUAGUUUGAGUGAGGAGAAGGCCCUGAUACCUUGAAUGAACUCUGAAGAGGUUUGGAUCACCUCCCAGCCAACAUUUUACCUGGGAUGAGGACCUACAGCAUGUAGGGCAAUAUCUCCUUUUCUUCUUUGGCUGUGGAAUCUUCUGGAUCUGCUACA